UGGUGGAGUGAUUUGUCUGCUUAGUUGCGAUAACGAACGAGACCUUGGCCUCUAACUAGGGUGCGCAGCGGUAGCUACGCGACCUUCUUAGGGGGACGUAUUGAUGUAAGUCGAUGGAAGUUCGAGGCAAUAACA
rnacentral:rRNA from 1 species